rnacentral:rRNA from 1 species
UACAGAGGCCCCAAGCGUUACUGAGAAUCACUGGGUUUAAAGGGCGCGUAGGUGGCGCGUUAAGUCCGUUGUGAAAUCCCUGGGCUCAACCCAGGAAUUGCUUCGGAUACUGGCGUGCUUGAGGCUAGUAGGGGUCACUGGAACUGACGGUGGAGCGGUGAAAUGCGUAGAUAUCGUCAGGAACGCCGAUGGUGAAGACAGGUGACUGGGCUAGUUCUGACACUGAGGCACGAAAGCGUGGGGAGCGAACGGG